AUGUGGUUUAAUUCGAAGCAACGCGAAGAACCUUACCAGGCCUUGACAUGCAGAGAACUUUCAGAGUAUGGAUUGGUGCCUUCGGGAACUCUGACACAGGUGCUGCAUGGCUGUCGUCAGCUCGUGUCGUGAGAUGUUGGGUUAAGUCCCGUAACGAGCGCAACCCUUGUCCUUAGUUACCAGCACGUUAUGGUGGGCACUCUAAGGAGACUGCCGGUGACAAACCGGAGGAAGGUGGGGAUGACGUCAAGUCAUCAUGGGCCCUUACGGCCUGGGCUACACACGUGCUACAAUGGUCGGUACAAAGGGUUGCCAAGCCGCGAGGUGGAGCUAAUCCCAUAAAACCGAUCGUAGUCCGGAUCGCAGUCUGCAACUCGACUGCGUGAAGUCGGAAUCGCUAGUAAUCGUGAAUCAGAAUGUCACGGUGAAUACGUUCCCGGGCCUU
rnacentral:rRNA from 1 species